UACGGAAGGCAGCAGUGGGGAAUAUUGCACAAUGGGCGAAAGCCUGAUGCAGCUAUGCCGCGUGUAUGAAGAAGGCCUUAGGGUUGUAAAGUACUUUCAUCGGGGAGGAAAAACAAAACUAAUAAUUUUAUUUCUUGACGUUACCCGAAAAAGAAGCACCGGCUAACUCCGUGCCAGCAGCCGCGGUAAUACGGAGGGUGCUAGCGUUAAUCAGAAUUACUGGGCGUAAAGAGCACGUAGGUGGUUUUUUUAAGUCAGAUGUGAAAUCCCUGGGCUUAACCUGGAACUGCAUUUUGAAACUGAAAUACUAGAGUAUCGUAGAGGGAGGUAGAAUUCUAGGUGUAGCGGUGAAAUGCGUAGAUAUCUGGAGGAAUACCUGUGGCGAAAGCGGCCUCCUAAACGAAUACUGACACUGAGGGUGCGAAAGCGUGGGGAGCAAACGAGGGAUUAGAUACC
rnacentral:rRNA from 1 species